AUGCCCACGACGCGCAAGGUGCUAAGCUACUUCACAGUCGAUAGUCCCAUCGUUUUCCGUCUUUCCAUGAGUAGGAGGAUGAAGGAUGUCCUUGAAAAGAUAGAUGAGCUGGUUGUGGAGAUGAACAAUUUUCACUUCCUUACGCAUACCGAGACACCAAGCAUUGAACACCCGCAAACACACUCUCGUGUUGAUGAAUCAGAGAUUGUCAGCAAACUAGAUGAGAAGGAACAGGUGGUGAAGAUAUUGCUCGAGAACCAAUGUGACAACAAUAAUGUCAUGGUGCUCCCAAUAGUUGGCAUGGGGGGAUUGGCAAGACCACCCUUGCUCAACUUGUGCACAAUGAUCAGAGAGUGA
rnacentral:rRNA from 1 species